GUGGAUCCAAGAUGGCGUAGAAAGUAAGGCUAGAAGGCAGGGAAGUGGACCAGCCGAACACAGCUCCUCCUGAUGAAGUCACACAGCACACUUGUAUGUUUGCUCUUUACUCAGCUUUGGGACAAGUUGCAGAAUUUAAAACAGUCUGACGGAGAAAACCAAGUAGAUCUGGUGGAUGAGCCUCCUAUAGGAUCUCACUGGAUGCACCAGUGCAGUACUGGCUGUACACACGGUUGUUUAUGUUGUGCUCUCUUCACCAGGGCCCUGAACUCCAUGACGUUAUCUGGUAUUGUUCCGUCUACUACUAAUACCUCGUUUUGUUUUCUAGUAAGCUAAGGAGUUACCUCACCACAUCAAAUCCUUUCUUGUAUCCCUUUCCUUGGACAGAAACCAUUAACAACGCGGUGAUAUGGCUGAGUUUCACCCCUUGUUAUGACAUCAAAUGGUACAUUAUAUCCCAGCAAAGAUCCACAGUCACACAAUCCUUUUUGAUAAGUUAUGCAAGUUACUAUGGUAAUGUCAACCCAUAUAUUUUUAAACAUGUAAGAAGGCUUUGUGUGUUUUAUUCCCUUCCGUCUGGGAAUGAAUAACUCCCUGUAAUGUAUAAAAUGUUAAAGUAAUAUCCAGAAUGGAGCUACUGCACUCUCUUAAUAUUUGAACCAAAAGUUCAAAUUUCAUAUUAAAUGGAUAGAAAUAUUGCAGAGCACAUUACUCACUGUUUUUCAUCAGAAGACGUAUAAGUCUGUAUAGAGUACUCUAAAUUGAGUGUUAUUCUUUCUCACAAUUUAAUAUUUCAG
ensembl:lncRNA